AGCAUGAAUCAAUCCAAACAGUCUGAUGGGAUCAUCAUGAAUGUUUUCCUCUAUUGCCUGGAUUUCUGGUGAGAAACUGUUGACUGAAGUGGUCUUAGAAAUGCUGGCAUCCAUUGCGUGUAGCUGCAUAUCUUCAUCCUUGUCUGACAAAGACAAGACUUACCAGAGAUGUCAUGUAGGACAACAAAACCAUGAAAAAAAUUAUGUGCCAAAUCUCAAUUCACCUGGAAUGAAAGUACACGUACAAGAAUUUAGUCAAACUGUAACCUGAUAUAUCAUGGAACAAGUUCAGGAUUAAGAGUCAGAAGACAUGGAUUUGGUACCAAUUCUACAAUGCAUUUGCCAUGGAACAACGUGCAAAUUACUUCAAAAUUCAGAUUUCUGUUUUUCUAGAAGUAGGGAUAAUAAUGCCUAUUUCAUGGAGUAGAUGUGGAAGAUAAAUGAGAAUUUCUAUAAAAACAUUUCAUAAAAUGACAGUUUAUUAUUAUAUAUUCUAAAUACGUAUUAUAUAACAAGCCAGAAUUUAAUUGUGCUCA